UACGGAGGGCGCAAGCGUUGUUCGGAAUUACUGGGCGUAAAGCGCGUGUAGGUGGCUUGGAAAGUCGGGUGUGAAAUCCCGGAGCUCAACUCCGGAACGGCAUCCGAUACUGACAAGCUCGAGUCUCGGAGAGGAUGGCGGAAUUUCCGGUGUAGAGGUGAAAUUCGUAGAUAUCGGAAGGAACACCAGUGGCGAAGGCGGCCGUCUGGACGAUGACUGACACUGAGACGCGAAAGCGUGGGGAGCAAACAGG
rnacentral:rRNA from 1 species